rnacentral:misc_RNA from 1 species
GUGAAGAUUUGGGCAGGCCAUACGGACGCCAAAAAGUGUCCCUGGCCGCCUACACCCACUAUACAUCCACAAACCCGUGUGCACUGUCUUGGAGAAAGGCUUCAGAGAAGUUUUUUGUGGCCUCUCGUAGGCGUUUCGAAAAUGAAUCA